UGCACAGAAGGUCGCGAUUAAUUCGUCCUAUGAGCAGUUAAACAAUACAUAACUUAUAUGCACAUGACUUUAAAGUUAUAUAAGGAUUUUAAAUGAGGUCUAUAACAUUGUGCUAAUUAGUGUCAGGAUAUACAGUACUGUACUGGUUCGGAACCAGUAGCCGGACAGCUCCUUCUGCAUCCAGUGUUGUAAUCAGCAUCACGCUGUGACAUAAAAUAUAUGUUCCACGGGGCCUCAAAUGGGGUACCCAAAAAGAAGUUAUUUUCCCCAUGAGAUCAUGCUGCAGUGAGAAACCAAGAAAUUCCUAUUGUUGUGUACAUACUUAGGUGCCAUGGAGUGUCAUGGAAAAAGGAUAUGGAAAAUACAGGGAUGAGGAUGUGUGAAGUUGCAGGAAAGCAAGCUGGAAUACCCAGAAUUCCAGGAGAAUAGGGGCUGUACAUCUGUGAAGGGUAUUGUUAUGAGAUGUAGGGAGUUGCUCAACAGAUUGAAUUGUUAAUCAUGUUAAUUUAAAUGUAUGCAGUGCAACUGUACUGGUAAUGAGAUGCAGGUCUUUGUCCUACAUGAUGAGGGAAACAUAGUGUAUGGCAGUUUUGGAAAACAUGUAGUACAGUCUUUGCCUCACCCACCUCACAUAGAGUAAUAGUGGUCAAUAUUGUCUCCCCUGGAUGUAGAUGGCCUUGGAUCUAGCUGACCUUUGCUGUAGUCCGAUGUAGUGGUUGGUUAUCUGGUAGUGAUGCAGUAACUUGGACCUCUGCCACCAGGAGUUUGAGUCGGAACCAGAGCAUAUGUAGGAAUGACGGGCACACUUAGAGCAGUCUCCAUCAUAACAAGCCACAGUCGCAUCCAGGACACUUGGACAGUGUCGGUGUUUGGUUUCGGUCGUGGCAGCCGUGGAGCUCUGGAGAAUCCCUCACAGUCAGGGGUGGUUAGUGUUGAGCCGUCUAUAGACAUCUUGGUCACCAGGGAGAACUCGUCAGUGUUCAUCCGUGAAGCAGAAGGCUGUACUUCAGGUUCACUGUCAUCGGAAGAGGACACAGGCAGUUUCAAGCCUUUGUUCCAGGGAGUAUAACCCUUCUGGAAAUGUGUUUUCUUGCGAGAUUUUUCACCUUUUCUUUUCAUGGUUG